GAUCCAGUGGCCCUGAGGGACCAACACAAUGUAAGGAGCUGGACCUUGUGCACUCUUGCUCCUCUCUUGCUGCCUCCUUAUCUAACUUCUGCUCAGUCACCUCUGCAUUCUACCUGUAGAAAAGUGACUCAACAUCAUUCCAGAAGUCCGGAAUUCUACAAGAAUCAUGACACAGCAAGAACACAGCCAUGUGCAAAUCAGGAAGAGGGCACUUGCUGGGAACUUAAUUGGUUGGCACCUUGAUCAUGGACUUCCCAAACUUCCAAA
rnacentral:lncRNA from 1 species